AGGAGUUUUGAACGUAACUUACAAACUUACAAGUUAUUAACAAGGCUCAAACCACCUAAAGAUGCACAUGAACAUGGUGGCCAUGUGUUUGCAGUAAUGCAUAUAGGAGCUCCCUGUUGUGGUAUGAAUGCUGCUGUUAGAUCUUUUGUAAGAAAUUGCUUAUGUCAGGGAAAUAUUGCUUUUGGUAUUCAUGAUGGUAUAGAAGGUUUAAUUGAAGGAAAUUUUCAACAAAUGAAUUGGAGUGAUGUAUCUGGUUGGGUGGGCCAAGGGGGUGCAUUUCUUGGAACAAAGAGGUAAUUA